AGAAGAAGAAGAAGUUCAGGCGGGUUAUGUUUUUACCCAGAAUGCACCGCUGAUCGUCACGGCGCCAUCUUCAUAGACCUGCGCGCUGAGGACACGAGAACGACAGUCAAUGUUGUUAAUGUUCUGGUUAAUUUUGGUAGCAUUUGUUUAACUUGGAUCAAACAUUGCGAUGGGGGUGAAGGCGCAGCGUCCUCGCUGUUUCUUUGACAUUGGCAUCAGUAAUGUGCCAGCGGGCCGAGUGGUCAUGGAGCUUUUCUCGGAUGCGUGUCCCAAUCGAUAUCGGAA